UACGUAGGGUGCGAGCGUUUAAUCGGAAUUACUGGGCGUAAAGCGUGCGCAGGCGGUCUGUUAAGACCGAUGUGAAAUCCCCGGGCUUAACCUGGGAACUGCAUUGGUGACUGGCAGGCUUUGAGUGUGGCAGAGGGAGGUAGAAUUCCACGUGUAGCAGUGAAAUGCGUAGAGAUGUGGAGGAAUACCGAUGGCGAAGGCAGCCUCCUGGGCCAACACUGACGCUCAUGCACGAAAGCGUGAGGAGCAAACAGG
rnacentral:rRNA from 1 species